CGGAUGUGUUCAGCUCCCCUGCCCCCAUCCUCUCCUCCGCACCCCCUCCCAAAAUUGACACGGGAGCCAUGAUGAACCUGUUUGGUGGUGGGUAACUCACAACCGCCUGCCCUCACUCUGUUCCUCCUUUUCAUGAAAGCAAGAUCAAAAAACAGGAGUUGAAUCUGGGCAGGACAUAAAAUGAAACAGAUGAUAUGAAUAGAGUCAGUUAUUGUUUACUAGCCUGUUAUAUUAUUACUUAUUGUACUUUUCCUGUGAAUUUUGUGUUGUCAAUAUAAACUCACACAUAUAUCGUAUCAGUGGAAUAUUAUCCUAUGUGGGUCCACGGAAACAUUACAAGCAAUUAGAAUUCUUGAUCAGGUUGAAAGCCAAAUUACUCAUAAGCUGUGUGUAUGCUUUUAAGGUCCCAGAGUCUAUAUUGAGAGUGACUAUGGUAUUAUUAGCUCAACUAGACUUGCUGGUAGUUGUCCAGAGGGAAAAUUAGCACAGAUUUUAUAUGGUGUAAAUGUGUGUGUUUCAAAAUGCUAAGAUGAUGUGUAUGUGUGUAUUUUAGUGUUUUUGUUUAAUGUUGUUUCACAUUCUAUUGAAAUAUAAUGAUGCAUUCAACUUUCAGCAUAUCUGUAUCUAACUCUUAACACUUUGUUUGGUAUUAGCAGUGUGAAGCCGAAGGCUGAUUAUUACCCCUUCUUUGCCCUUAUGCUGCGAUGGAAAUGCCUCGAACCUGCAUUGACCUGGCAUGGUAUGGUUUGGCAUGCUUUUGGUUGACCGGCCAGAGUCCACAGGAGGAGAUGCCCCAGCUGCUGCUGCUCCUGCUGCCCCCAGUGCUGAGCUCAUGUCAGUAUUUGAUGGGCUAGGGGAUGUAAUGAAGCCCACUGUUCCCGCUCAGGCAGGUGAUGUUGACACCUCCAUGGCUAACAUGGCAAGUAAUCUCACAAUGGGAACCUCAGCAGCCCCUCAGCCCGGGGCACCAGGUGUUGGAGCUCCCAUUAUGCCCAUGGUGAGGCCAGGGUUCCCUGCUACUGGAGCAACCCCUGGAGCACCGAUGUCUCCUGGAAUGGCCCAGAGCCCCAGAAAGCCUCCACCACCUAGGAAUGCUCUGGAUGACCUCAACAUUAAGGACUUCAUGUAGACUGACCACCCGUAAACACCCAAGGUACAUGUGGAUUAACUUCACUUACAGUAUAUGUUUCUGUUGUAGAAAUGUAGUCAUGGCUGGUUUUAAUAAUUGAAAUAUAUUCUUUUUAUGUUUUACGUC
rnacentral:lncRNA from 1 species